GACGAACGCUGGCGGCGUGCUUAACACAUGCAAGUCGAACGAAGUGGCGAACGGGUGAGUAACGCGUAAUCAACCUGCCCUUGAGAGGGGGACAACAGGUGGAAACGACUGCUAAUACCGCAUACGGAAGGAGGGGAUUGCGUCUGAUUAGCUAGUUGGAGGGGGAACGGCCCACCAAGGCGAUGAUCAGUAGCCGGGCUGAGAGGGUGAACGGCCACAUUGGGACUGAGACACGGCCCAGACUCCUACGGGAGGCAGCAGUUGGGACUCUUCCGUAAUGGACGACAGUCUGACGGAGCAACUCCGCGUGGGUGAUGACGGCCUUCGGGUUGUAAAGCUCUGUUAAUCGGGACGCGGUACCGGAAUAGAAAGCCACGGCUAACUACGUGCCAGCAGCCGCGGUAAUUC
rnacentral:rRNA from 1 species